UUACUACUUGUUGUUCAUUGAAUCGCUAGAUAAAAAAUUGAAAUAAUUGACAACCUUUCUAUAAUCGAACAAAAAAACUGAGACAAAUAUAGAUGAAUAUUAAAAAAAAACAAAAAUCCAAAAAUUCAACUUGUGGCAUCGUUCCCUUUUCAAAAAGGUAUCAUACAUCCCAAUCGGAGUUCGGACACCAAAUCUGUAAAUUCAUACUAAGUCCUUUUUCC
rnacentral:lncRNA from 1 species